AAGAUAGUGAUUCAUCAAUCUGUGUGUAUUUUGCUUAAAAUGUGAAAUGUGCACUCAUGCUGCGCCCCCCCCCCCCCAACCCUCACAAUAGGUCACUUUGGCUUACCCUUGUAGUGUGGAGAAAUGUGUAUGUUGAGUUUGUGCUCCAGUACAGUUUUGAUUCACCCUACUAAUUGGUAACUAAUUUGUUGUUUGGCAUUCCCCUGAGAUUCUUAUGCUGUACAUUUUUUUGCAAACUUUUUGAUCCCAACUAGCUAAUGGUUGCUUUAUUUCAGGACCAGUCAGGUACCUCCUUUUGCUCUCUGAUUAUGUUUUCCUUUCAAUAUUUGCCAUACAUGUGAAUCGCUAAUUAGUAUGGUCAGAGAAACCUAAAUAUUUUAACAAUUUCAGGCAACUGUGCAUUAUUUUCUUUUGACGAUGACAGUUACAUGGUGCAAACAAUGAGAAAAAAACACCCUCUAUCAAUUGAUAUUCAGCAGUAUGUACUCUUAGAAGCUUCACUUCCCCAUGCUAUCCUCGAUUACAUAAUGAUUGAUGAAUACUGGAACGUUGACCGAGAGAUUCAGCAUGAAGAGCUUUAGCUUGAAUUAGCAUGGAUCAAGGUGGCUGAUAUCUUGCAUUAGAGAUGUAUCUGCCUAGACCAGCUUCCUGUCCGAAUGUAGGAUGCGUAAAUAGAAGAGGAAGCAUCUUCCAUUUGAAUUAGGAUUACCAAAGGAAGUGUGUUGAUAAUUUUAUUUGACAUUAUAGGUUUCAUGUUGCACCCUUUGGGCGGCUAAAUGGAUAGGCCAAUGCUUUCUCUGAAGCCUGAGAUAGCCUUUCUUGUGUGCCACAAGAUGUAACAGACAAUAACAAUAUUUUAGUUUGAGCUAGAUUACUAAAGGUGACAUACAUAAUUUAAGCACAAGAGCCACGAGGAUUCAGUUCU